ACCCAGACCGCCAGCUAAGGCCCCAAAUUCCUAGUUAAGUGGGAAACGAAGUGGGAAGGCAUAGACAGCUAGGAGGUUGGCUUAGAAGCAGCCAUCCUUUAAAGAAAGCGUAAUAGCUCACUAGUCGAGUCGGCCUGCGCGGAAGAUGUAACGGGGCUCAAACCAGGUACCGAAGCUACGGGUUCAUCUUAGGAUGAGCGGUAGAGGAGCGUUCUGUAAGCCUGUGAAGGUCAGUUGAGAAGCUGGCUGGAGGUAUCAGAAGUGCGAAUGCUGACAUGAGUAACGACAAUGCGAGUGAAAAACUCGCACGCCGAAAGACCAAGGGUUCCUGCGCAACGUUAAUCGACGCAGGGUGAGUCGGUCCCUAAGGCGAGGCUGAAGAGCGUAGUCGAUGGGAAACGGGUUAAUAUUCCCGUACUUCUGGUUACUGCGAUGGGGGGACGG
rnacentral:rRNA from 1 species